rnacentral:rRNA from 1 species
AGAGUUUGAUCCUGGCUCAGAACGAACGCUGGCGGCGUGCUUAACACAUGCAAGUCGAACGCGAAAGGGACUUCGGUCCUGAGUAAAGUGGCGCACGGGUGAGUAACGCGUGGAUAAUCUACCCAACGAUCUGGGAUAACAUUCCGAAAGGGGUGCUAAUACCGGAUAAGACCACGAAAUCUACGGGUUUUGCGGUAAAAGGUGGGGACCUUCGGGCCUACCGUCAUUGGAUGAGUCCGCGUACCAUUAGCUAGUUGGUAGGGUAAGAGCCUACCAAGGCGACGAUGGUUAGCUGGUCUGAGAGGAUGAUCAGCCACACUGGAACUGAGACACGGUCCAGACUCCUACGGGAGGCAGCAGUGGGGAAUUUUGCGCAAUGGGGGAAACCCUGACGCAGCAACGCCGCGUGAGUGAUGAAGGCCUUCGGGUCGUAAAGCUCUGUCAGAGGGGAAGAAGUGCAGUGGUGCUAAUACCAUCAUUGCUUGACGGUACCCUCAAAGGAAGCACCGGCUAACUCCGUGCCAGCAGCCGCGGUAAUACGGAGGGUGCGAGCGUUGUUCGGAAUUAUUGGGCGUAAAGCGCGUGUAGGCGGUCUUUUAAGUCUGAUGUGAAAGCCCCGGGCUCAACCUGGGAAGUGCAUUGGAAACUGGGAGACUUGAAUACGGGAGAGGGUAGUGGAAUUCCUAGUGUAGGAGUGAAAUCCGUAGAUAUCAGGAGGAACACCGGUGGCGAAGGCGGCUACCUGGACCGAUAUUGACGCUGAGACGCGAAAGCGUGGGGAGCAAACAGGAUUAGAUACCCUGGUAGUCCACGCCGUAAACGAUGAGUACUAGGUGUUGCGGGUAUUGACCCCUGCAGUGCCGCAGCUAACGCAUUAAGUACUCCGCCUGGGAAGUACGGUCGCAAGACUAAAACUCAAAGGAAUUGGCGGGGGCCCGCACAAGCGGUGGAGCAUGUGGUUUAAUUCGACGCAACGCGCAGAACCUUACCAGGGCUCGAACGCAGGGGGGAUAUACCUGAAAGGGUAUAGCCAGCGAUGGUCGCCUGCGAGGUGCUGCAUGGUUGUCGUCAGCUCGUGCCGUGAGGUGUCAGGUUAAGUCCUAUAACGAGCGCAACCCCUAUCCAUAGUUGCCAGCGGGUAAAGCCGGGGACUCUAUGGGAACUGCCUGCGCAAGCAGAGAGGAAGGAGGGGAUGACGUCAAAUCAGCACGGCCCUUAUGUCCUGGGCUACACACGUGCUACAAUGGUCGGUACAGAGGGCAGCGACCACGUGAGUGGGAGCCAAUCCUUAAAAGCCGAUCUCAGUUCGGAUUGGAGUCUGCAACCCGACUCCAUGAAGUUGGAUUCGCUAGUAAUCGCGCAUCAGCCAUGGCGCGGUGAAUACGUUCCCGGGCCUUGUACACACCGCCCGUCAAGCCAUGGGAGCUGGGGGUACCUGAAGUUCGUGACCCGCGAGGGAGCGACCUAGGGUAAACUCAGUGACUGGGGCUAAGUCGUAACAAGGU